rnacentral:piRNA from 1 species
UAACAGUGUUGUGCAAAUGAACUGAAGA